UCACUUUGGCAGCACAUGUACUGAAAUUGAAAUGAUACAGACAUGAGUAGCCUGGUCCCUGCAAAAGGAUGGCAAGGAAAUUCAUGAUGUGUUUCUUAUUCCU